CUUGAAAGAGAAAAUGGCUUCUAACAUCAUCCGUGUCUAUUUUUUCAUCGCAUUGCUAUGUAUUGCUUCCACUUUGACUCCAGGAGGAGCAAUUGACGCAACAACUUCAUGGACUUAUUGCAUUGGCAAAGGUCCAUGUCCAAGUGAUAAGGAUUGUACUAAAUAUUGUUUGGAAUCAACUUUUCUUCAUGGUGGCAAGUGCAUAGGAAAUCAAUGUUGUUGUAUUCGAUAAUUGUCAAACUGUUUCUAUAAAUAGUCUUUAUGAACUCUUUCAAAAUAAAUGAAAGUUAAAUUAUUAUUUUUUUA